rnacentral:misc_RNA from 1 species
GAUGAAGAACGUAGCAAAAUGCGAUAAGUAAUGUGAAUUGCAGAAUUCAGUGAAUCAUCGAAUCUUUGAACGCACAUUGCGCCCGCCAGUAUUCUGGCGGGCAUGCCUGUUCGAGCGUCAUUUCAACCCUCAAGCACAGCUUGGUGUUGGGACUCGCGUUAAUUCGCGUUCCUCAAAUUGAUUGGCAGUCACGUCGAGCUUCCAUAGCGUAGUAGUAAAACCCUCGUUACUGGUAAUCGUCGCGGCCACGCCGUUAAACCCCAACUUCUGAAUGUUGACCUCGGAUCAGGUAGGAAUACCCGCUGAACUUAAGCAUAUCAAUAAGCGGAGGA